UACAGGGGGGGCGAGCGUUGUUCGGAAUUACUGGGCGUAAAGGGUUUGUAGGUGGCUUGCUCAGUCAGACGUGAAAUCCCUCAGCUUAACUGGGGAACUGCGUCUGAUACUAGCGAGCUUGAGUGCAGGAGAGGAACGCGGAAUUCCAGGUGUAGCGGUGAAAUGCGUAGAUAUCUGGAGGAACACCGGUGGCGAAGGCGGCGUUCUGGACUGGCAACUGACACUGAAAAACGAAAGCCAGGGGAGCAAACGGG
rnacentral:rRNA from 1 species